AGCGCAGGCGGUGCGGCAAGUCUGAUGUGAAAGCCCGGGGCUCAACCCCGGUACUGCAUUGGAAACUGUCGUACUAGAGUGUCGGAGGGGUAAGUGGAAUUCCUAGUGUAGCGGUGAAAUGCGUAGAUAUUAGGAGGAACACCAGUGGCGAAGGCGGCUUACUGGACGAUAACUGACGCUGAGGCUCGAAAGCGUGGGGAGCAAACAG
rnacentral:rRNA from 1 species